rnacentral:rRNA from 1 species
GCACUGGGGAUAAUUCCGGAUAACGCAUAUUUGCUGGAAUGCUUUAUGCGUCAAAAGGAUUCGUCUGCCCAAGGAUGGGUCUGCGGCCUAUCAGGUAGUAGUGGGUGUAAUGUACCUACUAGCCAGCGACGGGUACGGGUUGUGAGAGCAAGAGCCCGGAGAUGGAUUCUGAGACAUGAAUCCAGGCCCUACGGGGCGCAGCAGGCGCGAAAACUUUACAAUGCGGGAAACCGUGAUAAGGGGACACCGAGUGCCAGCAUCAUAUGCUGGCUGUCCGGAUGUGUAAAAUACAUCCGUUAGCAAGGGCCGGGCAAGACCGGUGCCAGCCGCCGCGGUAACACCGGCGGCCCGAGUGGUGAUCGUGAUUAUUGGGUCUAAAGGGUCCGUAGCCGGUUUGGUCAGUCCUCCGGGAAAUCUGAUAGCUCAACUAUUAGGCUUUCGGGGGAUACUGCCAGACUUGGAACCGGGAGAGGUAAGAGGUACUACAGGGGUAGGAGUGAAAUCUUGUAAUCCCUGUGGGACCACCUGUGGCGAAGGCGUCUUACCAGAACGGGUUCGACGGUGAGGGACGAAAGCUGGGGGCACGAACCGGAUUAGAUACCCGGGUAGUCCCAGCCGUAAACGAUGCUCGCUAGGUGUCAGGCAUGGCGCGACCGUGUCUGGUGCCGCAGGGAAGCCGUGAAGCGAGCCACCUGGGAAGUACGGCCGCAAGGCUGAAACUUAAAGGAAUUGGCGGGGGAGCACAACAACGGGUGGAGCCUGCGGUUUAAUUGGACUCAACGCCGGACAACUCACCGGGGGCGACAGCAAUAUGUAGGCCAAGCUGAAGACUUUGCCUGAAUCGCUGAGAGGAGGUGCAUGGCC